rnacentral:rRNA from 1 species
UACGAAGGGGGCUAGCGUUGCUCGGAAUCACUGGGCGUAAAGCGCACGUAGGCGGCCCUGUAAGUCCGUUGUGAAAGUCAAAGGCUCAACCUUUGAAUGCCGAUGGAUACUGCAGGGCUAGAGUCCGGAAGAGGCGAGUGGAAUUCCUGGUGUAGCGGUGAAAUGCGCAGAUAUCAGGAGGAACACCAAUUGCGAAGGCAGCUCGCUGGGACGUAACUGACGCUGAGACGCGAAAGCGUGGGGAGCAAACAGG